rnacentral:rRNA from 1 species
CCUACGGGUGGCAGCAGUGAGGAAUAUUGGUCAAUGGACGGAAGUCUGACCCAGCCAUGCCGCGUGCAGGAAGAAGGCUCUCUGAGUUGUAAGCUGCUUUCUUACAAGGGUAAACCUGAAUACGUGUAUUCAGCUGACUGUACUGUACGAAUAAGGGUCGGCGAACUCCGUGCCAGCAGCCGCGGUACUACGGAGGGUGCAAGCGUUAUCCGGAUUUAUUGGGCUUAAAGGGUGCGUAGGCGGAUAUAUAAGUUAGAGGUGAAAGGUGCGAGCUGAACCCGGGCACUUCCCUUGAUACUGUAUAACUUGAGGGUGGGAGCGGGAGGCGGAAUUGAUAGUGGAGCGGGGAAAUGCGUAGAGAUCAGACAGAACACCAAUGGCGAAGGCAGCUUACCAAUCUAUAUCUGACGUUGAGGCGCGAAAGCGUGGGGAGCAAACAGGAUUAGAUACCCCAGUAGUC